UACGUAGGGUGCAAGCGUUGUCCGGAAUUACUGGGCGUAAAGGGCUCGUAGGCGGUUUGUCGCGUCGGGAGUGAAAACCCAGGGCUUAACCCUGGGCUGGCUUCCGAUACGGGCAGACUAGAGGUAUGCAGGGGAGAACGGAAUUCCUGGUGUAGCGGUGAAAUGCGCAGAUAUCAGGAGGAACACCGGUGGCGAAGGCGGUUCUCUGGGCAUUACCUGACGCUGAGGAGCGAAAGUGUGGGGAGCGAACAGG
rnacentral:rRNA from 1 species